AAUUCUCAACCUUGUCAGCAUCUGUCUGAUAAUGGCUUGGAUGUGGGGGUUUUGCUGGCUCUGUCAGCUCCCCUUAAAUGCAUUAGCUGGUGCCCUGUAUUGGUGUGAUAAUUAUCUACGCCAUGGAUUAGCGCCGCUUCUAACCGUCCGUUCAUUCGGACAAUACAAUGACA
rnacentral:misc_RNA from 1 species